rnacentral:rRNA from 1 species
GACGAACGCUGGCGGCGUGCUUAACACAUGCAAGUCGAACGGAAAGGCCCUUCCUGUUGGGGGUGCUCGAGUGGCGAACGGGUGAUUAACACGUGAGUAACCUGCCCUUGACUUUGGGAUAACUUCAGGAAACUUGGUCUAAUACCUGAUAUGAGCUUCUGCUGGAGGGUGUGGGUUGGAAAGUUUCGGCUGGUGGGGUUGGACUCGCGGCUUAUCGGCUUGUUGGUUGGGUAGUUGCUUACCAAGGGUUUGACGGGUAGCCGGCCUGAGAGGGUGACCGGCCACAUUGGGACUGAGAUACGGACCAGACUCCAACGGGAGGCAGCAGUGGGGAAUAUUGCACAAUGGGCGGAAGCCUGAUGCAGAAACGCCGCGUGCGGGAUGACGGUCUUCGGGUUGCAAACCGCUUUCGCCUGUGACGAAGCGUGAGUGACGGUAAUGGGUAAAGAAGCACCGGCUAACUACGUG